rnacentral:rRNA from 1 species
GAGUUUGAUCAUGGCUCAGAUUGAACGCUGGCGGCAGGCCUAACACAUGCAAGUCGAACGGCAGCACAGAGGAGCUUGCUCCUUGGGUGGCGAGUGGCGGACGGGUGAGGAAUGCAUCGGAAUCUGCCUAUUUGUGGGGGAUAACGUAGGGAAACUUACGCUAAUACCGCAUACGUCCUACGGGAGAAAGUGGGGGACCUUCGGGCCUCACGCAGAUAGAUGAGCCGAUGCCGGAUUAGCUAGUUGGCGGGGUAAAGGCCCACCAAGGCGACGAUCCGUAGCUGGUCUGAGAGGAUGAUCAGCCACACUGGAACUGAGACACGGUCCAGACUCCUACGGGAGGCAGCAGUGGGGAAUAUUGGACAAUGGGCGCAAGCCUGAUCCAGCCAUGCCGCGUGUGUGAAGAAGGCCUUCGGUUGUAAG